AUGCCGCCGCGCCGCCGAGGAGUGUCCAGCUACCGCGACGUCCGCCCGUGCCUCAAUGGCGGCUACUACGCGGAGAUACGCUCCGGCGAUCUCCGGCUCGGCCUCGGCACAUACGGGACGGCGCGCGAGGCCGGCCGCGCGUACAACGCGGCGGCGUGGCGUCUAGGCCGGCCGCGCGGCCAGAUGAACUUUCAGGAUGUCUACACGCUCCAGCAAGCGCUCGACCGUGCGCCGCCGCCGCGUCUGAACACGGCACAAGACCGUGCGGAGCACGCCGAGCGGCAGCGCCGCCUCCUCGUCGCCCAGGAGGACGAGCAGGUCAUGGCGGAGUGGCGGCGCCGCCACCCGGGGGACGUCGCCUACGAGCAGUCCUACUGGGCAAGGCAUCACGAGGAGGACACGCGAAGGCGCCGUGAGGCGCGGUUGGACAUGCGUCGACGCAAGGCGUUGGCGAACGCGCAGUUCGAUCUCGUUGAAGCAGGUGGGCAGUCGUUCUUCACACCGGAUGAUGAUCGGUGGUUGGACAUCUGGCUGGAUACCUCGGACGACACCGCCGAGAAGGAUGACGAUAGUGAUGAUAGCGACUUAGACUAG
rnacentral:rRNA from 1 species